CUACGUGCCAGCAGCCGCGGUAAUACGUAGGUGGCAAGCGUUGUCCGGAAUUAUUGGGCGUAAAGCGCGCGCAGGCGGAUUGGUCAGUCUGUCUUAAAAGUUCGGGGCUUAACCCCGUGAUGGGAUGGAAACUGCCAAUCUAGAGUAUCGGAGAGGAAAGUGGAAUUCCUAGUGUAGCGGUGAAAUGCGUAGAUAUUAGGAAGAACACCAGUGGCGAAGGCGACUUUCUGGACGAAAACUGACGCUGAGGCGCGAAAGCCAGGGGAGCGAACGGGAUUAGAUACCCUGGUAGUCCACGCCGUAAACGAUGAGUGCUAGGUGUUAGACCCUUUCCGGGGUUUAGUGCCGUAGCUAACGCAUUAAGCACUCCGCCUGGGGAGUACGACCGCAAGGUUGAAACUCAAAGGAAUUGACGGGGGCCCGCACAAGCGGUGGAGCAUGUGGUUUAAUUCGAAGCAACGCGAAGAACCUUACCAGGUCUUGACAUCCCUCUGACCGCUCUAGAGAUAGAGUUUUC
rnacentral:rRNA from 1 species